rnacentral:rRNA from 1 species
UACAGAGGGUGCAAGCGUUGUUCGGAAUUAUUGGGCGUAAAGGGUGUGUAGGCGGUCUGCUAAGUCUUCUGUGAAAUCUACGGGCUUAGCCUGUAACGUGCAGAGGAAACUGACAGGCUUGAGUGUCGGAGAGGAGAGGGGAAUUCCCGGUGUAGAGGUGAAAUUCGUAGAGAUCGGGAGGAACACCAGUGGCGAAGGCGCCUGUCUGGCUGACAACUGACGCUGAGACUCGAAAGCAUGGGGAGCAAACAGG